UCACUAAGAUAACACUAGAUGGCGACAUUCGCACCAAUGCACUUAUCCAUUGGUUUCAAUGUUAUGCAAAUGAAGUGCAGGUGUUUUAGGGGGAGGGGGUGCAGUGUCACUAAGAUAGCACUAGAUGGCGACAUUUGGACAUGAUUUUAUUGUUAUGCAAAUGAAGUGCAGGAGCCACGAAGGGAGGGGCUGUAAGUGUCAAGGGGGAAGAGGGUGCAGGUGUUUUAGGGGGAGGGGCUACAGUGUCACUAAGAUAACACUAGAUGGCGACAUUUGUAAGGGGGAGAAAUGGGUGGGAGGUUUAGGUGUUUUUUUGUUUUUGGGGUGUUGGAGGAUGUCUAUAGGUGUUUUUUAGAGAGGGGGGUGGACUUAAUGUUAGUGUAUUUAAGGUGGGGUUAUUGAUUGUUUUUUGAGAAGACACACCAGCAGAUGAGCUCUGAACGGAGAAGUUGGAGAGCGUCCAAAGUUAGAGAGCGUCAAAAAGUUGUUUCGAGAUGGUUAAAGAUAUAACUGUGUUUGCUGACGUGCACGCAGUAUUUGACGACGACUUUAGCGGAGUUUAUUUAACACAAUCAGACUACGAUCUCGUAGCGGCUGCUACUAGGCAAAAAAACCCACUGAUACAGACUGGUUUGGAGGCAGAACCGAGUGAUUUCGGCCAAAUCAUACCCCCCUCCGGCCGACAGGAGGUUGUCACGAGCUCUGCACGUCAUUUUGAAGCAACGAAAACA